AUUGAACGCUGGCGGCAUGCCUUACACAUGCAAGUCGAACGGUAACAGGGAGCUUGCUCCGCUGACGAGUGGCGAACGGGUGAGUAAUGUAUCGGAACGUACCAUUCAGUGGGGGAUAACGUAGCGAAAGUUACGCUAAUACCGCAUAUUCUGUGAGCAGGAAAGCAGGGGAUCGCAAGACCUUGCGCUGAUUGAGCGGCCGAUAUCAGAUUAGCUAGUUGGUGAGGUAAAGGCUCACCAAGGCGACGAUCUGUAGCGGGUCUGAGAGGAUGAUCCGCCACACUGGAACUGAGACACGGUCCAGACUCCUACGGGAGGCAGCAGUGGGGAAUUUUGGACAAUGGGGGCAACCCUGAUCCAGCCAUGCCGCGUGAGUGAAGAAGGCCUUCGGUUGUAAGUACUCUUUCGGUCCGGGAAAAACGUACGACGAUACAGUUAAUUAACCUUCGGUUGGUGGGUAGUUGGAGUUAGGGUACCGGGAAACGUAAAGGAAAGGACAACCCGGGACCGUAAACCUAACCGUUACGACCCG
rnacentral:rRNA from 1 species